GUAAAAAUAAAAAUUAAAAAGAAAUUAAAUAAAAUUUUGAAAAAAAUAUUGGAGUAAGAAAAAUAAAAAUACAAAAUAUUCCCCAGUACGCUGGUCCACCGUUACCCUACAACAACUACAAAUAGUCUCUCUCCACCAAUUCCCUUUUCAUUCUUCCCAGUUCAGAAGCUACGUUACUUUCCAUGGCUGAAGCUUCCUCUUCUUUUUCUCUUUCUUCUUGGCUUGUCCCUCUUCUCUUUCUAUGCUCUGUUUUCCCUUUCACAUCACCUUCCACUAUCACUAUCCCUCUCUCUCUGUCCACCCAACAAUACCCUUCUUCAGAUCCAUUGAAAAUCCUCAAUCAUCUAUCUUCUCUAUCCCUCUCCAGAGCUCACCAUAUCAAGUUUCCCUAUACCAACUUCUCUGUCAUCGAAAUUCCUCUCUUCUCUCGCAGCUAUGGUGGGUAUUCCAUGUCCCUGAGCUUCGGUACUCCGCCGCAGACUGUCAAGUUUGUCAUGGACACUGGGAGUAGCCUUGUCUGGUUUCCCUGUACCUCUCGCUAUCUUUGCAACGGAUGUAACUUUCCAAACACCAAUUUAACUAAAAUCCCCAAGUUUAUUCCAAACCUAUCGUCUUCUUCCAAGCUUGUUGGCUGCCAAAAUCCCAAAUGUGCUUGGAUUUUUGGAUCAAAUGUGCAGUCUAAUUGUCAAGGUUGUGACCCCAGCAACCAAAAUUGUACCGAGGGUUGUCCUCCUUAUAUAAUUCAGUACGGGUUAGGCUCCACAGCAGGGCUUUUACUAUUAGAAUCUCUUGAUUUCCCGAAUAAAACCGUAGCGGAUUUUCUGGUUGGGUGCUCUAUCAUCUCCACCCGCCAACCUGAAGGAAUUGCCGGCUUUGGUCGCAGCCCGGAGUCUCUCCCUCUACAAUUGAAACUCAAGAAAUUCUCUUACUGUUUGGUAUCUCGCCGCUUCGAUGACACUCAGGUGAGCGGCGACCUUAUUCUGGAUAUGGGUUCGGAUUCAGGCGAUGCCAAGACCCCAGGCCUUCGCUACACACCGUUUGCAAAGAACCCGACGGGGUCAAACCGAGCAUUUAAAGAAUAUUACUAUGUAAUGCUACGAAAAAUCUUAGUCGGCGACCACCAUGUUAAAGUCCCGUACAAUAUCUCUGUGCCGCAAUCCGACGGCAAUGGAGGGACUAUAGUGGACUCAGGCUCAACUUUCACGUUCAUGGAGGGUCCAGUUUUUGAGUUAGUAGCCAAAGCAUUCGAAAAGAAAAUGGCUAACUCUACAAUAGCCACUGAAGUGCAGAAUCAGACAGGUUUAAGGCCGUGUUUCAAUAUUUCGGGCGAGAAAUCGGUUGCUGUCCCGGAAUUGAUUUUUCAGUUCAAAGGUGGUGCUAAGAUGCAAUUACCUCUGGCAAAUUAUUUUGCAUUUGUUGAUUUUGGUGUCGUCUGUUUAACAAUUAUCAGUGACAAUGCGGCUGCUCCGGGAGGUGGUGGCGGCCGCAGCGGACCGGCGAUUAUCUUGGGGAGUUUUCAGCAGCAGAAUUUUCACAUAGAGUACGAUUUGGAGAAUGAAAGAUUCGGAUUUAAACAACAGAGUUGUUCAUGAGCUGGUUUUUGUCCCUACUAGUUUGAAUAAAACAAGUCCCGUUAAUUGGCUUUGGACAUUAUGGUUAGAGGGUUAAUUCUCAUUAAUUGCAAGCACAUGGCAAUAAAAGUGGUGGUGGACAGAUACCCGACGCGGCCGUGGCGACAGCGAUGGCGUUGAUAACGGUAACAAAGGAAGGUGGAUAAUAGGCUGCGGCAAAUGGGUUGAAGUUUGGGCUGUCCGUUGAGUGGUGGUCUUGUGAUGUAGUUUGUAUUUCUCCUCAUAAUCCUCACCACAACCCAGCUCCCAAGCCUGUCUUGGAGAGAAGGGCCUCUUAACAACCAUUACUCUUCUUUCAUUAGCCGGAAAUUCGGCAAGUAAUUUUGUAUAAGUUAAGCCUGUCUUGUGCUCUUCAGCUUGUGUAAUUUAAGACCCACCUCAAACGAGUUGAUCUAGCUGCUGGUUUUAACAUUAAGAGUAAUAAUUUUUCUGCAUUUCAUCUGAUGGCAGAAUCAGGCUCUGUUUUGAAUUAAUAGAAGGUUUC
rnacentral:misc_RNA from 1 species